rnacentral:rRNA from 1 species
AUUGAACGCUGGCGGCAGGCCUAACACAUGCAAGUCGAACGGUAGCACAGAGAGCUUGCUCUCGGGUGACGAGUGGCGGACGGGUGAGUAAUGUCUGGGAAACUGCCCGAUGGAGGGGGAUAACUACUGGAAACGGUAGCUAAUACCGCAUAACGUCGCAAGAACAAAGUGGGGGACCUUCGGGCCUCACACCAUCGGAUGUGCCCAGAUGGGAUUAGCUAGGAGGUGGGGUAAUGGCUCACCUAGGCGACGAUCCCUAGCCGGUCUGAGAGGAUGACCAGCCACACUGGAACUGAGACACGGUCCAGACUCCUACGGGAGGCAGCAGUGGGGAAUAUUGCACAAUGGGCGCAAGCCUGAUGCAGCCAUGCCGCGUGUAUGAAGAGGGCCUUCGGGUUGUAAAGUACUUUCAGCGGGGAGGAAGGCGAUGAGGUUAAUAACCGCAUCGAUUGACGUUACCCGCAGAAGAAGCACCGGCUAACUCCGUGCCAGCAGCCGCCGUAA